GUGGUGUCACAAAAUCGGAGGCCCCGACUGUUUACUAAAAACACAAUUCAGAGCAAUGAUGUAAAUCAUAGUAUUCUGGAUGAAAUUUGCCCAAUGCCAUUAACAUAAAAGAGGUAAUGGGAAACUGUUACUAAUUGAAAGUCUGGUUAAUAGCGGUCUUAACUAUGAGGAUCCAAAGGUAGCAAAAUCAGUUGGCCAUUAAAUGUGGUCUGGUAUCAAUAGUGUAACGAUGGUCUCACUGUCUCUACAACUUGCUCAGUGAAAUUGAAUUAUCCGUGCAGAUGCGGAUUGCCUCCA
rnacentral:rRNA from 1 species